rnacentral:rRNA from 1 species
CAAUAGCGUAUAUUAAAGUUGUUGCGGUUAAAAAAGCUCGUAGUUGGAUUUCUGCCGAAGACGACCGGUCCGCCCUCUGGGUGAGUAUCUGGCUCGGCUUGGGCAUCUUCUUGGAGAACGUAGCUGCACUUGACUGUGUGGUGCGGUAUCCAGGACUUUUACUUUGAGGAAAUUAGAGUGUUUCAAGCAGGCAUCCGCCUUGAAUACAUUAGCAUGGAAUAAUAAGAUAGGACCUCGGUUCUAUUUUGUUGGUUUCUAGAGCUGAGGUAAUGAUUAAUAGGGAUAGUUGGGGGCAUUCGUAUUUAACUGUCAGCGGUGAAAUUCUUGGAUUUGUUAAAGACGGACUAUCUGCGAAAGUCAUUUGCCAAGGAUGUUUUCAUUGGAU